UACGUAGGGGGCGAGCGUUGUCCGGAAUCAUUGGGCGUAAAGAGCGUGUAGGCGGUCCGGUAAGUCGGCUGUGAAAGUCCAGGGCUCAACCUGGAGGGGUCAUUCGAUACUGCCGUGACUAGAGGUCGGUAGGGGAGUGUGGAAUUCCUGGUGGAGCGGUGAAAUGCGCAGAUAUCAGGAGGAACACCGGUGGCGAAGGCGGUUCUCUGGGCCUUACCUGACGCUGAGGAGCGAAAGCGUGGGGAGCGAACAGG
rnacentral:rRNA from 1 species